UUUUUUUUUUUUUUUUUUUUUUUUUUUUUUUACUAAUGAGGAAACCAAGGUUCAUGGAAUUAAGUUACUUGCCUGAGGCCUCUAACUCGAAGUGACAGAACUAAAAUUUUGAAACUGUGCAGCCUUCAGAGCUGAGAGACCACGGGUGGGAGAGUGUUUACGAACUCUCAAGUAUGAUAGAUGCCUUGUACCCUUUGGGGCUAGAAUGAACAGUACCAGUUUGCAGCUUGUUAUGGUUGCGGUUGGAGGUGGGUGGCUGGGGGACAGUGUUUUCCAAGGAGGCCCUUGAACAGAUCCUGUGGUUAGGAUGGAUGACCUGAUCGCAUCCCCAGAGUCUGGGUGGGAAAAGGCAGGAGGGUCCACAGUCUGAAAGAGAGCCCUGGGGCAGGUUGAGGUGGUAGAGGAAACUCCUAGGGUGUCAAUCCAAACAGUCCAUUGGGAGCCCAGGCCUUCAGCGGGAGGAGCACUGUGGCUCAGAUGACACGAACCUCUCUGACGGGGCUAAGGCAGAGAGAAGCUCCAGUUCGGUCAGAACUUUCCAAGAAACCAGGGACAUGCAGCUCAGGAAAUAAUACUUGUGGGAGCCAGCCCCACCUGUGACCCCUUCAUCUUAUCUCUCUGCCCUUGGGUUUCUGGCCCCCCAGCUUCUAUACUGCUCCCCCUGGAUCCCCAGCCCACUCACUGGCUUCCCCAGCACCUCCCUUCCAGGCCCAUUCUCCCCUCACACAUACCACAGCUCUGUCUGCCACGGUAGCUCCUUUGUUUACUUCCAGAGCUGCCAGGCCCACCACUAGCCAAACACAAUGAAGCCUGGCCAGCGAGGGGAGGUUCCAGGCUCAGUCUGGCCCCUCAGAGAGAGGUAAUAGCCUCCGGACCAAGGAGGCAGCUCAAAGGUGGGCUACUCCCGCACUGUGCUCAAGCUUCAGGCCUGUAGGGAAAGGGCAUGAGGUCUGCCCAUAGCUGGGUGGGAAUCCCUACUGUUGAAACAGCUUUGGCAAGGAGCCCCGGGAAUCAAAUACCCAGCUGGAGGGAGGUGGGGGAAGUGUUGAGGUUCGCUGGGUGGGAAGCGGAGGCUUAGACUGCUCCUGGUUCUCCCUGUGUCUCUUCAACCAGGUAGAACCAGAGUCCUCAGCCCAAGGAACCCAGGUGCCUGUUUCCCCACCAGAGGUCUGUGUUCCCCUCCCAAAAGUCUGUGCCCUGUGCCUCCCCAAAGAUUCCAGCUGAGAAAAGGAAGUGAGCAUUUACUCUGGGCCAAGCCCCAAGCAGGAAACAUUGUCAGGAUGUGCCUGGCAUUGGUCUGUCUGAGGUUAGCGGGGAGUUUAUUUAUCUGAUGUAUAAUUAUGUAUUUAUAGAAUGUGUAAUAUAAAGGCAGGGGGCUCCAAUUCUGUUUCUGGAGCUGGGGGCUGAUGGGUAAGCAGUGAGGGUGCCAAGCUGGAGGGCAACAGAGCCACAGACAGGGUCAUGUGAGGAGCAGUGGUUACUGGUGAGAGGACAUGCCCCAACAGGGAGGAGGAGAGCCUUGGCAGCCCAGAUUUCCCAGGGGAGAGAUAGAGGACUCUUUCAAUGGUGCCCAGGUAAUUCUGUGAGUAUGGGGGUGGCAGGGGCAGGCAGAUAUUGGUGAAUGAUGUAGGAAUGAUUUUAGAAGAAAUGAAAUCCCCAAUUUCCCUCCCUUUUAGGGAUCUAUUUUGGAGACAACAAACGUGACUAAGGAAUGUCAAGAAGAAAAUAAAAUUCUGUUGCCAGGCCCUAAUGGAGAAAAUAGAGCUCGGGACCCAGGGGCCUUUGGAAGGAACAGGAAUGGGGUUAGAGGUGAGCACUGGCCCUGCUAAGCUGU
ensembl:lncRNA